rnacentral:rRNA from 1 species
GACGAACGCUGGCGGCGUGCUUUACACAUGCAAGUCGAACGGUAACAGGCCGCAAGGUGCUGACGAGUGGCGAACGGGUGAGUAAUGCAUCGGAACGUGCCCAGUCGUGGGGGAUAACGCAGCGAAAGCUGCGCUAAUACCGCAUACGAUCUAUGGAUGAAAGCGGGGGUACCGUAAGGCCUCGCGCGAUUGGAGCGGCCGAUGUCAGAUUAGGUAGUUGGUGGGGUAAAGGCUCACCAAGCCGACGAUCUGUAGCUGGUCUGAGAGGACGACCAGCCACACUGGGACUGAGACACGGCCUAGACUCCUACGGGGAGGCAGCAGUGGGGGAAACUUUUUGGGCACAAUGGGGGACCAACCCCUGAUCCAGCAAUGCCGCGUGCAGGAAGAAGGCCUUCGGGUUGUAAACUGCUUUUGUACGGAACGAAACGGCUCUGGUUAAUACCCGGGGACUAAUGACGGUACCGUAAGAAUAAGCACCGGCUAACUACGUGCCAGCAGCCGCGGUAAUACGUAGGGUGCGAGCGUUAAUCGGAAUUACUGGGCGUAAAGCGUGCGCAGGCGGUGCUGUAAGACAGGGCGUGAAAUCCCCGGGCUCAACCUGGGAAUGGCGCUUGUGACUGCAGUGCUGGAGUGCGGCAGAGGGGGCAUGGAAUUCCGCGUGUAGCAGUGGAAAUGCGUAGAUAUGCGGAGGAACACCGAUGGCGAAGGNAAUCCCCUGGGCCUGCACUGACGCUCAUGCACGAAAGCGUGGGGGAGCAAACAGGAUUA